AGCUGUUGGUGAUUUUGAGUUGAGGCAGAAAGGACUCUGUGAAACGUUUGGAUUAUGGAAUUUGCGUUUUGAGGAUAUGGGCGCAGAAGUCACGAGAAGUUUAUUUA